AUGAACGCUGGCGGCGUGCCUCAUACAUGCAAGUCGAGCGAACAGACGAGGAGCUUGCUCCUCUGACGUUAGCGGCGGACGGGUGAGUAACACGUGGAUAACCUACCUAUAAGACUGGGAUAACUUCGGGAAACCGGAGCUAAUACCGGAUAAUAUAUUGAACCGCAUGGUUCAAUAGUGAAAGACGGUUUUGCUGUCACUUAUAGAUGGAUCCGCGCCGCAUUAGCUAGUUGGUAAGGUAACGGCUUACCAAGGCAACGAUGCGUAGCCGACCUGAGAGGGUGAUCGGCCACACUGGAACUGAGACACGGUCCAGACUCCUACGGGAGGCAGCAGUAGGGAAUCUUCCGCAAUGGGCGAAAGCCUGACGGAGCAACGCCGCGUGAGUGAUGAAGGUCUUCGGAUCGUAAAACUCUGUUAUUAGGGAAGAACAAAUGUGUAAGUAACUAAGCACGUCUUGACGGUACCUAAUCAGAAAGCCACGGCUAACUACGUG
rnacentral:rRNA from 1 species